rnacentral:rRNA from 1 species
AUUGAACGCUGGCGGCAUGCUUUACACAUGCAAGUCGAACGGUAACAGGGAGCUUGCUCCGCUGACGAGUGGCGAACGGGUGAGUAAUGCGUCGGAACGUACCGAGUAGUGGGGGAUAACGCAUCGAAAGGUGUGCUAAUACCGCAUACGAACUGAGGUUGAAAGUGGGGGACCUUCGGGCCUCACGCUAUUCGAGCGGCCGACGUCUGAUUAGCUAGUAGGUGAGGUAAAGGCUCACCUAGGCGACGAUCAGUAGCGGGUCUGAGAGGAUGAUCCGCCACACUGGGACUGAGACACGGCCCAGACGCCUACGGGAGGCAGCAGUGGGGAAUUUUGGACAAUGGGCGCAAGCCUGAUCCAGCCAUGCCGCGUGUCUGAAGAAGGCCUUCGGGUUGUAAAGGACUUUUGUCUGGGAGCAAAUACCCGGUGUUAAUAGCGCCGGGGGCUGAGAGUACCAGAAGAAUAAGCACCGGCUAACUACGUGCCAGCCGCCGCCGUAAGAC